UGGCAGUGAUGACUAUCUUAGGACACCUUUCGAAUAACAAUGAAACAAACUUCAUUUCUGAGCCAU
ensembl:snoRNA SNORD58 Small nucleolar RNA SNORD58